CCUACGGGAGGCAGCAGUGGGGAAUUUUGGACAAUGGGCGAAAGCCUGAUCCAGCAAUGCCGCGUGCAGGACGAAGGCCUUCGGGUUGUAAACUGCUUUUGUACGGAACGAAACGGUCUCCUCUAAUACGGGGGGCUAAUGACGGUACCGUAAGAAUAAGCACCGGCUAACUACGUGCCAGCAGCCGCGGUAAUACGUAGGGUGCGAGCGUUAAUCGGAAUUACUGGGCGUAAAGCGUGCGCAGGCGGUUAUAUAAGACAGAUGCGAAAUCCCCGGGCUCAACCUGGGACCUGCAUUUGUGACUGUAUAGCUAGAGUACGGUAGAGGGGGAUGGAAUUCCGCGUGUAGCAGUGAAAUGCGUAGAUAUGCGGAGGAACACCGAUGGCGAAGGCAAUCCCCCUGGACCUGUACUGACGCUCAUGCACGAAAGCGUGGGGAGCAAACAGGAUUAGAUACCCUGGUAGUCCACGCCCUAAACGAUGUCAACUGGUUGUUGGGUCUUCACUGACUCAGUAACGAAGCUAACGCGUGAAGUUGACCGCCGUCGGGUAGGUACGGCCGGCCGACGGUUAGGUAAACGUACGAAGUAGUAGUAGUACGGCGUGAGACGUACGACGACGACGACGACGGAGGGAGGAGG
rnacentral:rRNA from 1 species